UGGUCCUUCGAUGGCUUGUGCCGGCCGUUCCGCAAAUUCAGAGUGCUGCCAAGACCGUUCAGCUUAGGCAUCUUAUCGGAGUUGUCUGGAACAGCAUGAAAAAGCUGAUAAGCCAAAGAAGAAACAAAGCCAAAACUCACCCACACUAUUGCAGCAAGACAUUGCGGUAAAACAGCUCACAAAACAGGAACAAAAAACAGCUUGGCUUUAAUUUUACAAGCACAAUAUUUGACUCAUUUAGCGUCUAAGCAAUUUAUCAAUUGUUGUUAUACGCCUCUGUGGUCGUGAGUGCGCCCGCGUGUGUGUGUAUUUGCGCGCCAGCAAUAAUUGUUGUUGUUGUUUUCCUCUCUAUCCGCGUGUGUCAGUGUGUGUGUAUGUAUUCACAAUGAUUUCAAUCAAUAUUGUAAAAAAAAUAUAUAUAUAAAAAUUGCCAGACGAAAUGUUUAGACAAUACAGCCGUGUUUUUCUGGCCACUCAGUUUUUUCCUAGAACUAAGAAUUUUGAGAAAACUUGUGAGACGCGCGCUCUCGCCGAAAAAUAAUAAAUUUAACUAUUUCAUUUUGGAGACAGUGUGCACGCAGUCAGUCCUCUCGAAAAUACCACACUCUAAAAAAAACACCUAAAAAUGACUCGAUUAAUUUGAAGGAGUGAAACUUUGCUAGACAUUUGUGGGUCAAUUUGCUGUUGGAUUUUUUUAAAUCAAAUUUUUUACUUUCAUUUAAAUUGUUAAAUUAAAAAUGCAUGUACCAGCCUAUAUUUACAAAACCAAUUUGUGUGUAAGGGUUUCUGUAAUUGAUUGCUAUCGGUGCUAUCGAUAGCAAGAAUAACAAAUGCAUUUCUUAAACAUUAA